UAUUUUUGUGUGGACAAUGAAGAUGAACAAAGGAGUUAUGUAUAUCCUGUGGUCCUGUCCCUGACCACACCUAGUCCAUUCCUACUUAAGCUGCCUUGUAAAUACAGCGUCAUUAUGCCUGCCUCUCCAGAUCAACAGACUCAAAGAAGAUCCAGCUACAUCACCAGCCUCCCCACGAGCCAGGGAGAGACCAGAAACAAAGGCGCAGAGCAACUUUAAGCAAAUGCCGUCAUUUGCCCAGGAUCAGACUAUUCCCAUGCAUUUAUUUCCACCACAUUGCAAAGCCAGAAUCAUGCAGGAAUCGUUUGCUGUCCAUUUCCUUAAGGUGCUGAAGGAACUCUUGGCUUUUGUGCUGUUCAGUUACACAGUGCUGUUAGGGGCGCUGCUGUUGGCUGGCUGGACCACUUAUUUCCUGGUGCUUAAGUGACAGCUCAUGUUUUCCACCAGCAGCUUACAGAUGGAGCCCAGAUGCACUGUCUAUCCAACACCCAAUCAAUAAACACAAUUCCGUUUCUAUUCUA